GCGACAGAUCGGUGGCGCGCCGGCCGCCAUGGCGUGAGCGCCCGCCAUGUGGCACGCGGUGGCGCUCCUGCUCUGCCAGCUCGCCCCCGCACCCGCAGCCGCCGGCAUCGACUGCUACGCCUGCGGCGGCCUGGUGUCGGACCAGCCGGGCGG
rnacentral:misc_RNA from 1 species